rnacentral:rRNA from 1 species
CAAUAGCAUAUAUUAACGUUGUUGCAGUUGAGAAGCUCGUAGUUGAACUUUUGGUAGGAGCGACCUGGCCUUGGGCGCAUGCCCUUGUUUGCCGUGUGUCGUAUCUGGCCAUCCUUUUCCGCUUCGGCGGGAAUCCUUUACUGUGAGUAAACUGGAGUGCUCAAAACAAGACGUUUGUUUGGUACAUUAAAGCAUGGAAUAAUAAGAUAGGACCUGGUUACUAUUUUGUUGGUUUGCAUAGCUAGGUAAUGAUUAACAGGGACAGUUGGGGGUAUUCGUAUUUAAUUGUCAGAGGUGAAAUUCUUGGAUUUAUGAAAGACGAACGACUGCGAAAGCAUUUACCAAGGAUGUUUUCAUUAA